CCUGAAGAGCCGCAGUGAAUAGGCCCAGGCGACUGUUUAGCAAAAACACAGGUCUCUGCGAAGCCGCAAGGCGAAGUAUAGGGGCUGACGCCUGCCCGGUGCUGGAAGGUUAAGAGGAGGGGUUAGCGCAAGCGAAGCUCUGAAUCGAAGCCCCAGUAAACGGCGGCCGUAACUAUAACGGUCCUAAGGUAGCGAAAUUCCUUGUCGGGUAAGUUCCGACCCGCACGAAAGGCGUAACGAUCUGGGCACUGUCUCAAC
rnacentral:rRNA from 1 species